rnacentral:rRNA from 1 species
CAGUCGCCGCGGUAAAACGGAGGGGGCUAGCGUUGUUCGGAAUUACUGGGCGUAAAGCGCACGUAGGCGGCUUGGUAAGUUAGAGGUGAAAGCCCGGAGCUCAACUCCGGAAUUGCCUUUAAGACUGCCGAGCUAGUAGGUGAGAGAGGUAAGUGGAAUUCCGAGUGUAGAGGUGAAAUUCGUAGAUAUUCGGAAGGACACCAGUGGCGAAGGCGGCUUACUGGCUCAUUCUAGACGCUGAGGUGCGAAAGCGUGGGGAGCAAACAGGAUUAGAUACCCCCGUAGUCCCUGUCUCUUAUAC